GUACAAGUCACCACCUCCUCCACCAAUUGAGCACAAACCACCACCUUAUGAGUAUAAAUCACCACCUCCACCACCACAUGAGCACAAGGCUCCUCCGUACGAGUAUAAGUCACCCCCUCCGCCAUCACCAUCACCUCCACCACCUUAUGAGUAUAAAUCACCACCUCCACCACCACAUGAGCACAAGGCUCCUCCGUACGAGUAUAAGUCACCCCCUCCGCCAUCACCAUCACCUCCACCACCUUAUGAGUAUAAAUCACCACCUCCACCACCACAUGAGCACAAGGCUCCUCCGUACGAGUAUAAGUCACCCCCUCCGCCAUCACCAUCACCACCACCUCCUUAUGAGUAUAAAUCACCACCUCCCCCACCACAUGAGCACAAGGCUCCUCCGUACGAGUAUAUUUCACCACCCCCACCAUCACCAUCACCACCACCUCCUUAUGAGUAUAAAUCACCACCUCCACCACCACAUGAGCACAAGGCUCCUCCUUAUGAGUACAAGUCACCACCACCUCCAUACGUAUACAAGUCACCACCUCCACCACCAUAUGAACACAAGGUUCCUCCCUACGAGUACAAGUCACCACCUCCACCAUCACCAUCACCACCACCUCCUUACAUAUACAAAUCACCACCUCCACCACCACCAUAUGAGCAUAAGUCUCCUCCUUAUGUGUACAAGUCCCCUCCCCCACCACCAUAUGAGCACAAGUCUCCACCUUACGUAUAUAAGUCACCCCCUCCUCCUUCACCGUCACCACCACCCCCAUAUGUAUAUAAGUCACCACCACCUCCACCACCAUACGAGCAUAAGUCUCCUCCUUAUGUGUACAAGUCACCUCCUCCUCCACCACCAUAUGAACACAAAUCUCCACCCUACUAUUACAGCUCUCCUCCUCCACCUCCUUACUACUAUAAAUCUCCCCCACCACCUUCACCAUCUCCUCCACCACCUUAUUAUUAUGAGUCUCCACCACCACCAGUAAAGUCUCCAUCUCCAAAGCCUUACUAUUAUAAAUCUCCUCCACCACCAUCUCCUGUACCCCAUCCACCUUACUACUACAACUCUCCUCCUCCACCAUCUCCUUCACCUCCUCCACCUUACUAUUAUAAUUCUCCACCACCUCCUUCACCGUCUCCUCCACCACCGUACUACUAUAAAUCUCCUCCUCCUCCAUCUCCUAAACCGCACCCCCCUUACUACUAUAACUCUCCACCACCUCCAGUAAAAUCUCCACCUCAUCCAACACCUUACUACUACAAAUCUCCACCACCACCCACUCCAUACUAUUAUAAUUCUCCUCCUCCACCUGUCGUGUAUCCUCCACAUCCCCACCAUCACCCAUUGAUUGUGAAGGUUGUGGGCAAAGUCUACAGCUAUAAGUGCUAUGACUGGGAGUAUCCUGAAAAGUCACACAACAAGAAGCAUCUCAAAGGUACACGACAUUCUCUACGUCAUUUUUUAGUUCGAAAGUCUUAUUAUUGUUACAAUUGAAUUGUCAAUUCUUAUGCUUUUGAGCAUUGCUCGUUAUUAUCUUCAUUUGGCAUUCACUUUUUUUCGUUAGAGAAUGCACGUCUUUGUCUAGUAGAACUUGUGCUUCAUUUUACACAAGCAUUUGCUAUUAGUACUCACAGUAUUUUGUCGCUAAACUUUUCGUGAUGCUUGCAGUUCCAAUCAUAUUAGAUAACUCUAGAGCAUGUAGAAAUUAAAUGUUAGAAUGCAUUAACUUAAUUUAUCUUGAACCGACCACCUAAUCGGAAAACCAAAAUGAAUGCAUUAAUAUUUGAUGCUUAAAUUAGUAAAGUGUCAAUUAGACUUUUUAAUAAUGUAUAGAAUUGGAGAACCUUUUGUUACAGUUGAUAGGUAAGAUACAAUCAAUGUCUCAAUGUACAUUCACCAUCACAUUACUAAAAAAGAACCUUUUCUUAUUCAAAACUGGUUGUAGCAUGUAAUUAACACCAACACUCAACAUGAAAAUGAUAGUUUUCUUUUUCUUCAUAAAUAAACAUGAAAAGGAUAGUUUAACUCGAGAUUCUUUUUAUAAUUUGCUCCAAUAUAAUAUCUUUGGUGGAUUUAUGAUAUCUUGUCGUAUUAUUGUUUGCUAAUUGUAAUAUUUCAAUUAUGGAUCAGGUGCUGUUGUGGAGGUCAAAUGCAAAGCAGGCAGACACAUCAUCAAGGCUUACGGGGAAACUAAGAGCAAUGGAAAGUAUAGCAUUACAGUUAAGGACUUUGACUAUGCUAAAUAUGGCUCCAGGGUAUGCAAGGCUAGGUUACAUGCUCCACCUAAGAACUCACCCUUCAACAUACCCACUAAGCUAAACGAAGGAACCGACUUGAAGGUGAAAUCAAAGGACAAAUAUGAAGUUGUGCUUGAAGCUAAGCCAUUUGCCUAUGCUUCAAAGAAACAUUUUGAAGAAUGUGAAAAAUCCAAGCCUUCACCAACUCCCUACUAUUAUAAAUCACCACCACCUCCAUCACCGGUUUACAUAUACAAGUCUCCACCUCCACCAUCACCUACAUAUGUAUACAAGUCACCACCUCCACCAGUUCACCACUAUUCUCCUCCGUACUAUUACCAAUCCCCACCACCACCUUCACCAAAACCCAAUCCUCCAUAUUACUACCAAUCCCCACCUCCACCUUCACCAAAACCCAAGCCUCCGUACUACUACCAAUCUCCACCUCCACCAACACCAGUAGUAAAGCCACCUUACUACUACCAAUCUCCACCUCCACCAUCACCGGUACCCAAACCUCCAUACUACUACCAAUCACCACCUCCACCAUCACCAAAACCCAAGCCUCCAUACUACUACCAAUCCCCACCUCCACCAACACCAGUAGUAAAGCCACCUUACUACUACCAAUCUCCACCUCCACCAUCACCGGUACCCAAACCUCCAUACUACUACCAAUCACCACCUCCACCAUCACCAAAACCCAAGCCUCCAUACUACUACCAAUCCCCACCUCCUCCAUCACCAGUACCUAAGCCUCCAUACUACUACCAAUCUCCACCACCCCCAUCACCAGUACCCAAGCCUCCAUACUAUUACCAAUCUCCACCUCCACCUUCACCGAAACCCAAGCCUCCGUACUAUUACCAAUCCCCACCACCACCUUCACCAAAACCAAAGCCUCCGUACUAUUACCAAUCCCCACCUCCACCAUCGCCAGUACCCAAGCCUCCGUACUACUACCAAUCUCCGCCUCCACCAUCACCGGUACCUAAACCUCCAUACUACUACCAAUCUCCACCUCCACCAUCACCAGUAACAAAGCCUCCGUACUAUUACCAAUCUCCGCCUCCACCAUCACCGGUACCUAAACCUCCAUACUACUAUCAAUCUCCACCUCCACCUUCACCAAAACCCAAGCCUCCGUACUAUUACCAAUCCCCACCUCCACCUUCACCUAAACCCAAGCCUCCUUACUACUACCAAUCCCCACCUCCUCCGUCACCGGUGCCUAAACCUCCAUACUAUUACCAAUCUCCACCUCCACCAUCACCAUCACCCCCACCACCUUAUUAUUACCAUUCUCCUCCUCCACCAUCACCAUCUCCCCCUCCUCCUUACUACUAUAAGAGUC
rnacentral:lncRNA from 1 species